UACAAGGUGUUGAAAGCCUUCCACAGGGUCUCUACAAGGUGUUGAAAGCCUUCCACAGGGUCUCUACAAGGUGUUGAAAGCCUUCCACAGGGUCUCUACAAGGUGUUGAAAGCCUUCCACAGGGUCUCUACAAGGUGUUGAAAGCCUUCCACAGGGACUCUACAAGGUGUUGAAAGCCUUCCACAGGGACUCUACAAGGUGUUGAAAGCCUUCCACAGGGACUCUACAAGGUGUUGAAAGCCUUCCACAGGGUCUCUACAAGGUGUUGAAAGCCUUCCACAGGGUCUCUACAAGGUGUUGAAAGCCUUCCACAGGGACUCUACAAGGUGUUGAAAGCCUUCCACAGGGUCUCUACAAGGUGUUGAAAGCCUUCCACAGGGUCUCUACAAGGUGUUGAAAGCCU